CAGAGAGCAUAUGCACUAUCAGCCUUGGUAGUGGUGAGAAGAUGAUGCAGAACAGAGUCCCAGUCACAUCAUGAAGGACAUGUAAAGUUCAGUGUCUACCCUUCCCUGGCUUGCUGUGUGUCUCAGGAGGUUGGCCUCUAGAGACGGUGUCACUCAGCCUCCACUGGGCUCUGGAUUUCCAGUUAGGCUUGACCAGUGAGAGGCACCAGCAGAAUAUUGGAGGAUAGUACAGAUGCUGUAGAAGAACCUCUUCUGCAAGACCAUUGAUUCAUGCCUUGAGACAGUAUGAAUCAAGAUGACUUUUUUUUUUCCAAGGAGUUUUUAAGAACAGCUAUGCAGAGGAGGAAUGACAAGUAGAAGAGGGGAAAAGGGAAAAUAUAAACAAAAAAAAAGUACAUUCCACACAAAAGCAGAGGAACCAAGUGAAAUCUGAGAUGUGAGUAAAGUACUCUUGUUACACCAUGUUAACCACUUAGGCUGUAAGAUUCAGCAUGUGACACAAUUUUCUGAGGCUUUUGAAGUAGUAAUACUAAUUAUACGAUUAAGUAUAGUACUAUUAACCUUGACUCUGGAAGCUCCAGGAGCUUUCAUUCAUUAUUUAUUCAUGGAGCUCAGACUAUACUACUCUGGAGGUACAGAGAUGACUAUUUGCCUUCAAGGGAUAUACAGCCAAUUAGAGAAGACAGACAAGUAAUCAGAGGAUGCUAAUAUAGUUUAAUAUGUACUAUAAUACUGGAAAUGCUAUUUUGUGGCAAAACGUGCUAAGAAAAGAGUCCAAAAACUCUUUUUCAGGAUUUCAUGUGUUGGAUGUUAAAAUGGCAUUUUACAGCUAUUUUUUUAAAACUGGCAUUAGUUGCACUUAAAAUAAGCAUUUCAUAGCAAUAAUAUUCAAUAUUAUUUUAUAGUUCCCUAUAUAAUAAAUGAAUACUAUUUUAGUCACAUAUUAUUUCAAGUCAGUGUGCAACUUUUUCCCACAGUUAAUAUGGGACCAGCUUAUUUCAUAAUUGAUAUAUCAGAGCAAAUUCAGCAGAGUGGGAAGGAAUGAAUUUGACAUUCAAUUCCUUGCUUCAGAAUAUAGUAAAAUGAUAGCUCCUUUGAAGUUGCCCCCAACUUUUUCUGAGUUUGGGGUUCUGUGAAUAUAUUUGGUUCUGGAAGAGUUACAACAGUGUUGCUGGAGGGUACUAUAGCACUAAAUACCAUUUUGAUACCUUUGUUUAUAUGGGUGAUUAUAGUGAUAGCUUUUGAUAUAAAAUCAGGUAAAGCUCUGGAUACUUCAAAGGAAUCACUCCACCAUUUAAAUUAGUAUUUCCACUGAACAAGGAUCUGUGCAAAGGCUACUCCAAGUAGUGUCAUGUGGAGGAUGCAAUAAACAGAGGUGCUAUUGCCUAAUUUGUUUCAGUAAGUAUACAUUAGGAUUAACCACUCAAAAACACUAAUCACAGUUUGGGCAAACAUCCUCUCCCUCCUCUGAAGAAGUCUAAGACUGAACUUAAAGGUAAUUCUACCAGAACUCUGAAGACAGUGUUGUGUAAAAUAUUCCCAGUGAAAAUAAAUUAGUGGAGAAAAAAAUCUUAAAGAGAGGGCAAGCUGUAUGCAGCAGAAGUUAGCAAGAGCAGAGAUACAUUAGAAGGAACGGAGCUACAGCAGGAAGGGUUGGUGAAGGGAUUAGCCUGAGACCAAAAGAAACUGAAAGGUGAAGAACUGGGGAUUUUAGAAAUGCAUUGAAAGCCAAUUUGGCUUGAUUUCAGUCACAUAUUUAAUUUCCUCAUUCUUACUCUUAGGAGUAUGCCUAAGAACAUGCUGCACUGUCUCUACUCCUUCACCCACACCAUCUCAAGCGAGGUGGAACCAAUGAUAUAUGUAGUAAAUUUGAUUAGAGUAAGAGUAUCCUUGGCUGAGCUUCAGCCAUCGUUCCUUUCAGGAGCAUCAUUUCUUGUGGAGAGCAUAUGUUCUCCUUCUCCUCCAAGGACAAGCUCUUUCUCCCAUAUAAGAAGACUCGUUUGGGUCCAAUGCUGCCUUGAACUUGGUUAAAUCUGCUGUAUUCUGAGAUUUGACAUUAUCAAAUUCCUGUGGCUAACAGACAUAAAGCUAUAUUCUCCAAUCUGGCCUCUAUUGUUAAUAAAAAUGUUACGUUAGUUUCUGUCUGUUAUUCUUUUGUUUCUCAAUGAGAUCAGUAUUGGGUGGGAGAAAGGACUGUUAUCUCACGUGCCAAUUAAUCAUUUACUCAUCAAGUAUAGCAUGCAUUAUGUGAGUGUGGCAGACUGCUAGUGGGCCCCCCAAAUCUGCCCUUCCAUUCUUAUUCAGACAUGGAUAUCCAGCUAGAGACCAUAUUUCCCAUUCUCUUUGCACAAAAUGUGACCAUAGAGCUAAAUAUCACCAUGGAAAGUGAUCAGAAGCAAUGAGUGCAACUUCUACCUCACUUGCUUCAAAGGAAGUUACUUUCUCUUGUCUUCCUGUGGACUAGACCUUAGGAAAAGCUUCAAGCUAAUUUGACUAUUCAGAGGAGGACUGAGUCCCAGGGGUUAAUAGAGCAGCAUUGUGGAGGGAAUCUGAGUUGCUGGAUGUCCUUGGAGAGUAGACUUGGCCCACUAUGAUACCUUGCCCUAUUACAUAAAAGUGAAAUAAACAUUUAUCUCAUUUCCAUUGUGUAUUUGGGGAUCUUUCUUAAAGAAGCUUAGUGUUUACCCUAACACCCAGGAUCAAGUUGAUUUGGCCUUAAAUAAUCACUGUUAUAAGAUGCAGAGAGGUAGAUUGAAUUUAUCAUACGAAUGUCUUUAGCUACAAAUUAGCCCUAUGGGGUAUAGCUACUAUACUUCUUAGAGAAAUGAGUGGCAUAAUUUUAAUAUAAAUAAUAUGACAACUAUUAGUAUAUUAUUAAUACAUCCCAAGAAUGGUAUGUGAGACAAGAAGCUCCCUGGUUGUGCUUAUAUCUGUAAGAAAGGUAACUUAAGUAAACAUAGGCUUGCUCUAAUUCUGUUUACUUGAACCAGUUAAUUUUCAGUUACAUUAAGAAAGUUUGACAAAAUCCUUUAGGGCUUUCAGGCAGACAGGACAGCAAGCAUAAAGGUUCCUAAGCCAGGAAUGAACUUGGCAUGUGUGAGAGUCAAAAAGAGCAGUGUACCUGGUACAUGAUGGAUAAAGAAGAGUUGUAAAGAAUGAAUUUAGGCAGAUUGGCAGGGGCCAGAUCAGACAAGUCCUUGAAAAUCAGGAUAAGAAAUUUGGAUUUUAUUCUAGGCAUGAUGGGAAGCCAUUAGAAAACUUUAAGCAGCUAGAUGGCAUUAGUAGGUCUCUUUUUAAAAAAAAAACACCCUAUCGAAAAUUGAUAC